rnacentral:lncRNA from 1 species
AGGUUUUAUUUCAAGGAUUACAGCAGACUUCAACAUAGGCAAGUCAAUUCUUAAGAUAUAUCACAUUAACAGAUAAAGAGUAAGAAUAAUAUAGCCAUGUCAAUAGACACAGAAAAUGCCUUAUAUUCAGUUCAGCAUCAUUCUACACUAAGAAGAAAAGAGUUCAAGACAUUCAUUAUGAAGAAAGUUGACCAGAGCUAGAGAUGACAAAGUGUGGUGUUUUGGGGGAAGGAAAUUCAAAGUGAGCAUUAGGUAUUCUGAUAAAAAAUUUGUAACAGUGAGAAUAAAUACAUAAAUAGGCUGUAUGUAUCUACUCUGUAAUAUGCAUGCAGUUCAAAGCAUCAUAUUCUACAAGAUAAAAACAUACAACAUGCUCAGCCAAUUUAAAAGUAAUGUUACAUUUUUCUACAUGGGAAUAAUUGCAUGGAAAGUCACAAAACUCUUCCUUAGAAUCCAUAAAGUCCCAUGCUUUCAUUUGAGAGAGGCAAUGCAUGGUCUGAUGAGGAUAGUGAUCAAAUGGCAAUUUUAGAGAUGAUGUUCCAGUUCUGCUGAACAAUAGCAGCAUGAAAAGUGUUUGCAGAGACAAUACUGCACUAUGUGGAGUCUAAAGAAAGAGCAUCAGGAUUAAAAGAGGAAUAUAAAGUCGAAAGGAAGCAUACUUUGUAAAUCAAUUAUUUCUCACAGCACAUUUACUCAUUUUAAGAACAUAUACCUGGUAACUGCACCAUUAUGUAUCUUAAUUUAUCUCUCUUAUGCAGUGUAAUUUCUCCAGCUAUAAUUUAAAAUUUAAUUAUGUUCUUAAUUAGCCAUUUCUGCUCAAGGAGUGAUAUGCCCCCAGAGUGGCAGAAUACAAUUAUUCACUCACCAACUUCAUAUUGAAACAUAUUACAUGUGCUACCAGCUCUCCUUGGCUGAAGAAAUGACUUCCAGCUGGGGGCAUAUAAAGACUUCAGUGGAGAGUGCAUGGAAAUUGACCUUGACAGAUGGAUAAGAAAUAAGCAAAAUGAUGACUGUGUGUCCCUACAGUGUGUUAUUCUGCGAAAUCAGCAGUGGACCCUACAAAUUGUGCAUUAUUUCAUUCUCCUGGAAUAAGCAACUUCUCUUGAGAUGCUAUCUACUUUUAUUUAUACACCAGGAGCAAACAUUCCAUGUUAACUUGUAGAAUGCUUUAUCUGGUCAGAGUUCCUGUUUUGGAGUGCAUCCUUUAUUCUGUCAUCACCACUUCAACACCUAGACAUCUUUUGGUUCUAUAAAUACUGGGUCAAUUAAGUUUCACCAUCUUAGUUGGUCUCUCUUUAAUAAACUAAAUUAAAUCUAUGGUAUAAAUUCAUUUUAGUUUGUUAGGAGAUUCCCACAUGCAACUUAAUAAAAUUACAUCGACAGUCCAUGUAAUUUUAAAUGAGCAAGAGCAAUUCAGGCAGGGAAUAAGGAAUGGUAAAAUGCCAAGCCGAUGUGUAUAAGAAAUAACAAGCAUUCUUCUUCAGGUGGACUUCCAGUUAUGCCAGUACCAUUUGUUAAAGAUGGUUUUUUUUUCCAUUGUACAGCUUUGGCUUCUUUGUCAAAAACUGGGUGUUCAUAGGUAUGAUAGGUAUGUCGACUAAUGUCGGGGUCUUCAAUUUAAUUCUAUUGAUCCACGUGUCUGUUUUUACGCCAAUAGCAAGCUGUUUUCAUUACUAUAGCUCUAUUGUAGAGUUUGAAGUCAGUGAUGGUGAUGCCUCGAGAAGUUCCUUUAUUAUAUUGUUUUGGUUAUCCUGUUUUUUUUUUUUUUUGUUUGUUUUUCCAUAUGAAGUUGAACAUUGUUUGUUAGAGGUCUGUGAAGAAUUGUGCUGGAAUUUUGAUGGAGAUUUCAUUGAACCUGUAGAUUGCAUUUUAGUAUGUUGAUCUUAGUUCUCCAAGAACGUGGGAGAUCUAGGUAAAAAUGAGGACCCUAAGAGAGAAAUAAAUGGAGGGCACCAGGAAGGGAAAAUAGUUAAAAUCUCAGUGGUAGGUAUGAAGAGAUGGCAUAGAAGUCAAGGGCACUGGCUACUCUUCCCCAAGUCCUGAGUUUGAUUCCCAGCAACCACAUUGUGGGUCACAACCAUCUGUAAUGAGAUCUGAUGACUUCUUCUGGCAUGCAGGCAGAACAUUGUAUACAGGAUAAACAAAUCUAAAAAAAUAAAAUAAACUUAGAUGUAAACUGGGAAGGGGGGAGAAGAGAGUUCAAUGAUGCAUAACCAAAAACUAGGCUUAGCUCCUGGAGUCCAGUCAAGGAUAUGUAGAAGAGAUCACAUGAGCAAGGGGUGUCAAGAUCAUCAUGGGGACAACCAGAGUCAGCCAAUCCUAGCUAGCAGUAGCUCAUGGACUCUGGACUGACACUUGGGAAACCUCCAUGGGAUUGAAUUAGGUCCUCUGGAUUUGGGUGAAGGUUAUGGUUAUGGGCCUUGAUCUGGUUUUUGUUUGUUUGUUUUUUGUUUGUUUGUUUUGUUUUUGGUAGUAGGCUCUGACAGUGGAACCAGGACCUAUCCUGGGUACAUGAACUGGCUUUUUGGAGCACAUUACCUUGUAAUGGAAUAAAUUGUUCAGUUUGAUUCGUGGGGAGGGGCUUGGUCCUGCUUCAACUUGGUAUCCCAGUCUUUAGUGACUCCCCAAGGGAGGCAUUAUCAUCUCUGAGAAGUAGAUGAGGACAUGGAAUGGGAGGAGGUAGGGAGGAGGGAGAAUAAGAGGUGGGGGGAAAUACUGGGUUUGGAAUGUAAAAAUAGUAAAAAAUUAAAACAGAAUUUAAAAAAGAAAUAACUAUUACAUGUUGCUUUAGUCUGGUAAACUUUAAUCAGUGUUUGUCCAAAGGAAGCGACAAAGAAUGUUCUCCAAUAGACAAACAUAACAACACUUCCAGGGAGAGCAAUUCCAUAAACACAAUCCUAGGUUGAGUUAGAAUGGUUGAGCAUAUAUUAGCAUUAUUCUUCAACUAAAAUAAGAGUGAAAUAUUAUUUUAAAGCCCUUAGAUGACUGAUAAAAGCAUUCUGUUUUGUUUAACCUCUUAUAAAGCUAGGGCAGAAGUGUAUAUAAGCACCAUGUCCCUUGUGAGCUGAAUAGAGCUCUAUCAACUGAAUUAAAAGAUUUUUUAUUUUAUCUCUCAUUUUAAUUUAUCUCUCAUUACCACUGCUUGCAUUGACAGCUUGUUAAUCUUUUUAGAGCUAUGCCUAUGUAUCGAUGACUUUUUCAGCAAACCAAAAUUUAUCUUAGUUUACUAUGAGAAGAGACCAAGAAGUGAUUUUCUUUAACACAUUUUAUGGUUAGAAUAAGCAGUGAGGGUGGAUGGGGGAAACCAUUGUUCUUAAAACACGAUAUAUGAACCUGUGAAAGUCAAAACAGCGAUAUUCUUUCCUUUCUUUUCUUUUAAUAACAAGAUUCAGCUGGUCCUUAGCAGUGUGACUCUUCUGAGCUGUUGGGGUUUUGCUACACUGAAUCAUGCUCCCCCAGAGCCCUGUUUUGUAAGCAGAAGCCACUAAUAAAAGCAAUCUUAAUGGAUGAUUUGGGUGUUCCUUGCAGUGCACCUGUAUCCUCAGCAGCCAUCUCUGAGCAGCUCCAAGCUGGGUAGCCUCUGCUGUGUGCCUUCAGGUGUCAUUAACGGAUCAUUGAGUCAACAGAUCAUGACAGCUCCUUUGGAAAACUCUAGCUCCAAGUCCCCUCUCUCUGCCCAGGGAGUUACACUGAGGCUUUAACAGCCCGCAGUGUGACUUAAAGAAAUUCAAGAGGAAAACAGGAUGUGUUUCAACUAGGUCUAAAUAAUAGAGCAUCUAAAGUGCACAGACAUUUUAAAUAUGGGCUCCUGGGGAACAGAAAACUAUUCAGAAACACACUUUAGGAUAGUCUUAAACAUAAAUGUGUACCCUUAAUAAAUAAGUUCCCUUCAGGAGUCAGUUUUCUCUAAAUGCUUACAAUUUCAAACAUCCUUCUUCUCAUUCUCUGAGAUGCAAUACAUACACACUUAACUGUUUUGGUCUAAACUCACUUUGUGUAGAUUUUCUUGCCACUAUUUUCAUCACUUCAGCUGGAGUCUUAAAAGGUCUUGCACGAAAUGUUUGUGAUGAGUUUACUUAGGUAUGGCUAACAUUUUAACAUGGAGAAAUUAAACAAAGGAAUCAAUUAUUUGCCAUCCUACUGAUGUGUCAGUCACCUUCCAAAUGUUUGCUGUUUGAGGACAGAUCUGAAAGAACUGGAGAUAGAGAACUUGACUGAAUCCUUAGGGAAGGUUAACUGUUUAUGCAACACAAUUAUUUUCUUAUUUAAGAAAACUACUGGUUCUAGAUACUGCUGUUCAUAACAGCUGACUUUUGACAGCCAUGAUUUUGUACCUACCAGAGUAUGUUAUUAAAAUAACAUCACGAUUAUUUGUAUACCCCAAAUAACUUCAACAAUACAUACAUACAUCAUAUCUACAUUUUGUAAAUAGGAAAAAGGUAAAGAAAGAUGAUAUCUGAUCUUAUACUUCCUCAAGAGUUCCUUUGUGGGCAGAAGUGUGUCUGGAUGUUGUACAUAGAUUCCUUUGUGUGUGUACACUUCUGUGGAGGCAGAGGUCAACAUUUUGUCUUUUUCUAGAGAUACUGCCUCCAUUUAUUUGUAUUAUGAGAUAUGGUCUCUCACUGUCCUCAACUCACCAGGAAGCCUACGAUGACUGUGCAGGAAGCAUCAGGGAUUCACUUUUGUGUACCUCACUUGUACUGUGAAGAUAAGCACACCUCCAUGCCCAUCAUUCUAUGUGGGCUUUUGGGACUGAGCUGAAGUCCUGUUUGCAGAUCAACAGCUUUACUGACUGAGACUCACCCUCCAGCUCUCUUACAAGUUCCUAGCUAGUAUUUGUGACACUGAAAUUCUUGAUCUAGAAUCCUACUCACUUUAGCUUAUUCCUCUUUUGUUCCCUGCUUGGAAGCAGCAGUUCUCAAAUUUGUGCCUGUCCAAAUUACUAUCAAUUGUAGGCUUUGCUAGUCCAAGGCUGUUGGGGCCUAUCAAGAGUGGGUGUGGCCAAUAGCUGGUGGAGAAAUACCACUUUCUUAGGAAGGAGGAUGAGGAAGGAGCAAUAGGCCCAGGAUUUCAGCAAUUUACAACACAAUGUGGACAUUGUCUCAGAGAGCAAGGGUAAGUGGCUGUGGUGGUAGGGGGGUUGCAUUGUUAAUCAACUUUCACUUGGAGAACAAUCACUUCCAAGCUGUGUGUGUUCAAGUAUUCCAGCAUCCUGUUCAGACCAGCCCAGUGUCCUGCUUUGCAGCAGUCAUAGCAGUCUUGUCUCUUAUGGACUGAAGUGUCUGUUCUGCCUCCACAUAUAGGGAGACUUACUCUUGGAAGCUAGGUUUAAGCAAUCCCUUUAAAUAUUUACAAGAACUUUCCAAAACUUUCUAAUCAGUCAAAGGAAGAGCAUAACAGUUGAGAAUAAAGAAGUUUAUGCUUCCUUUAUAAUUGAUGUUUUGAUAUGUUUGUUCUUAUUCUAAUAAAGGAUACUGUUAGCUUAUAAAUAUCAAUAAAAAUCUAUAGAGUGUGGAUAAGGCUCAAGGAAAUUACAAUUAAACUUAAGACAACACAUUAUUUUGAGAUGCUGGGAGUAGUACCCAGGGCCAUGCAGGUACUAUGCAAGUACUCUGUCACUAAGCUACAUACCCAUUACUUACGUAACACUUUGGAGAUAGUAUUAAUCUUCCCAAGAGGAUUGUAAUUCAGCUGACCCUUCAUCUGUAACACUAGGGACCUUAGUAAGUGGGAUUGGUCUACAGAUUUGAACUAAAUGUUUCAGAAGGUAUCCUUAAAUGCUACAUACAUCUGAAUUCUAUUUCUAUCAAUGUAACAUUUUCAAGUGACAUGAUGUUUAAUCCUUUUAUAGAGUGGUUAGCAAUUCUCUCCAAGUAUGAAAACUGAAAAUAAAUUAGCACACUUUGUGAUAGUUAUGAUAUACUUAAAAUCAUUUUUCUGGAUGGUUGUUGCCUCUGACAUAAACAGAAAUGGGUAUUCUCUCAGCAGUCAGUUAGGGUGACAUUUUGAACAGUGUGUGCUUCACAGUGAAUACAUUGGAUCACACUAACUUGUGUGAACAUUAUAUUUUUUCUUAUUAAGUUAGUUACACUGAAGUAUAUGUAAGAACGAUUUAAGAUGCGAUUUUCUUGUGAUAUUUCUUUCAAUGAACUGAAACAUCAAAAACAUAAAUUUUGUUCUUCAUUUUACUUCAACUUACAAUGAAUUGAGCUGUUUGAGAGUCUCACAGAGGACUGGGUUUAGUUCCUAAUACACUGAUUUGGUGUUUCUCAUCUUUCUAUAAUUCCAGCUACAUGGAAUAUAAUACCCUCUUCUGGGUGGAGCUAGCAUCUGUAUGUACAUGGUAUACAACUCAUGCAGGCACACACACACACACACACACACACACACACACACACACACACACACUCACUUAAAUUAUCUUUAAAAAGAAUUUAUUGGUUGAAUUUAUAUCUUAACACAUUCAUUAAAUAAGUACCUGUAUAUAUUUUAGUAUUAUCUAAUAUGCUAUAAUAUUAAUUCUUAUGGAUUUU